AUUAAAGCCAUCCUGCAGAACAUCAUGAGCUCGCAAACAAAAAAAGUAGGUGUUACUUUUUUAUUUAAAAGGGAGGGGAGCAGGGAAAGAGGAAGUGUUUCUGGAAGUUACAAUUCUAUAGUUCAAAAAGUUCCAACAACUAGGACUAGGUACUGUGGAAUUUUAAAAUUUCUGCUUCACCUAUUUAAGGCUCUGUACUCUUUUAACGGUGAUGUUCAGAAGGAGCUCUGCUGAAAUUGCUGUCUCCUGAUCUCCAGUCGCACUGCACUUUAACUGAAUUCAUUUAUGUAGAAGGCACAGUGCAACAAGCAACAUGAAAUACUUCCAGAAGAAAACCUUCCUUUAUUUUUGUAAAAUAUGCUCUUACUAAAACGUGGAAAAUAGGGUCCACCGUGUGCUUUUUACAUAACGAGAAGGCAGAGUGCGACACUUACUUGUAAAUGUUUUAUACGGUUGCUUCCCCCAAAGUACCUUUUUCUUGUCACUAGCUACAUAGCCUCUCCACUCCAACCUGCACCAAUCACUUAGUUAUGAAUCCUUCCUAGCCUGGUUUUGAUGGAAGUGUUGCUCCGACCCUAAUUAAAUAGAAAGCUGCCACUUUCCUUAAGAUGUGGUUAAUUUGUUGCCACGUUAAAAAAAAAUCAAUAAAGUUAUUGGGUCAGGUUUCUGGUCAGCUUUAAUAGACUUUUUAAAAAACUGUAAAAUGCCAUUUUGAAGUUACUAGGCAACCACAACCAUAUUGCUGAGCCUUCUAAACCUCGGUUUCUGUAAAAUCCCUGGAGAGGAGCAUUUAGAGGCCAAAACGGCUCUGCGAAGGUCCUGUCCCUCUCACCUGUCUUGUCCCCUGAUGGACUGGCCUGAUGGUCACCACUAGAAACUCGCUGGAGACUCCCAACUAGACCUGGCCUAGUGUCCGGUACUGCACUACUGGGAAGGAGGGAAUGCUGAAGACAGGGGCAGAUGAAUGGAAGUUGGCUGAAUGGUGGAAAGGGGAGAGGCUGUGGGGCUUUCAGGCAAUGGGAAGUGGAAAAAACGGGGAGAGAAAAAUGAUAUGCUCCUGCAAGUCCUUGUGGGUCCCCUGUUUGUACAUAAGUAAUAGCCUUAGAGGGAGUCAGUUCUGGGAGGACUCAAAUUCCAGCCAAGCCAAUAGACAAGAGAUUUGCUGUCCUCUGCCCUUCAUCUGAGCCUUCUAUCAAACCAUUCGGAAAAGACUGAGCUGUCAGUUGAAAGGAUCUUUUAGGAGGCACAUCCAUUCUCAGUUUGCCCAGUCAUAGAACCAUGCCACCUGAGUGCCUGUUAUGCCAUGCCUGUGAAGUCUUUGUGGCUGGCUGAUGCCAACCUUUGUUAUAGAUCCUAACGAAGCCAGUUGAGGAGCAGCGGCAGAUCUACACUUCCCUCAGUAGGGCAGAAGAUCAAGUCAUAUCUUCCUCUUCGCUUUCCACACUGUGGAAAAGCAUCCACAUCUCUUGCGUCAGGAAAAAAGGCCAGAAGUUGUGAAGACCAGCCAAACGGUGGACAGGAGUGUGUCCUUCCAGAUGGCAAGCAUAAAACUUCAUUGGUAGAAGAACCAAGCCAAGGUGGUGUCUUGAGGACCUCUGAGCUAUUCAUCACUCCUUAGCAUGCCUGUUGUAUUUGUAUCAUUUGAAAAUGAUUUUAAUGGAAGCUUAUUUAUGACUGUCUCAAAUUAAAUUAUUUUGUGUUGCAGAAAUGCUACUCAGAUUAUAUAAAAAGGUGAUAAACAUUUUGAGCGAAUGUUAUAUAUCAAAAGACCAAGCUAGCUGUAACCCAGGAGGGGGGAUUCAGGCAUUCUUUCUCAUGUUUUCUUCCCCACUUGUGCUGCAGGAGCUGAGGAUGUCUUUUAGCAAAACAGGCGACGAGAGCGAAACCCUGCCUCUCCCUCUCCUAACUUCAUGCAAAGAGCAGCAUAAGAGAGGUGUUUUUCUCCCAGCCUGGUUCCGGUGCUGUAACUGAGCCAGAGUGGGAGAAAGAUGCUUCAGACAAUAAAGAACCAUGACAUUGAACAGAGGGAAGUGGAUAAGGUUUAGCUCCUCUCUUUUACAUGUGAAUAGGCAGAAUGUGAACACGAAUAAAUGCACACAAAUGAAGAAAUGUUACAACAGUACACUCUUAAUCUAGUCAGGCUUUCUUUUUGUACUGAACUAAAGCUGGCAUGCUGAACUUCAUGAUGGACUGUUCAAAAUCAGCGUAGGGCCAUGUUCAAAUACAUCUUAUGUACAGGCAGCUGUUCUUUGGAACAUCUCGUGCUGAAAUUUAUUUUUAUUUACAUUAUUUAUAGUCUCACUGAGACUCAAGGGGGGGGGAUUGCAUAGAAUAAGUUAAUACAGUCAGUGGCUGGGACAUUCACUAAGAGAGCAGUUCUUGCACGAACUCAUAAAGCUGCCUUAGCUUGCAGCAGAUCCUUGGUCUGCCUACCAAGGCCAGUCUUGUCUACUGCUUGGACUGACAGCAGACCUCCAGGGUCUCAGGUAGAUGUCUUUCACUUCACCACCUAUAUGAUCCUUAACGGGCAAUGCCAGAGAUUGAAUGUGGAAACUUCUGCAUGCCAAGCAGAUGCUCUUAUCACUGAACAACAGCCCCUUCCAUUUUGUGAUGUAGUGAAACAUAGUACACCUACUAUCAUACAGUAAACACAUGCACGUUUUCCUCUCGGUAGGUAUGAAGACACCAAUUAGGAGGGGUCCUUAGUAGCAACUGCAGCGUCCUUUUUCUGCUCUCUCCGCACAUUGUUAAUUGCUUCUUCGGUCACCCAACAACAAAGAUUCUCAGGAACAGGUUAACAGUAAAGAACAGAUACUGGGGAGAGCUCAAAGUAGAUGAGGCCUUUAUCAGUAAGUCUCUGCAAUAAUAGCUCUAUGUCUGAAAACAGAAAAACUAAACAAAAGGUUUCUGUCACAGUAGCCAGGCAUCAGCUGAUGCAUGCAGGCUCUUCCAUCACUCUUCCAGUCUUUUAAAGUCCUGUGAUUAGCAGGUGAAAAGAACAUGUAUAAAAUUGCUUGACUUCUGCAGUCUGAACAGGAGUCUGUUGGUUGGGAAUAUUAAAACUGGUAUUGAAUUAAUGAA